UACGAAGGGUGCAAACGUUGCUCGGAAUUAUUGGGCGUAAAGCGCGUGUAGGCGGCUUUGCAAGUCGGGUGUGAAAGCCCUCAGCUUAACUGAGGAAGUGCGCCCGAAACUGCAUGGCUUGAGUACCGGAGAGGAUGGUGGAAUUCCCGAAGUAGAGGUGAAAUUCGUAGAUAUCGGGAGGAACACCGGUGGCGAAGGCGACCAUCUGGACGGAUACUGACGCUGAGACGCGAAAGCGUGGGUAGCAAACAGG
rnacentral:rRNA from 1 species